rnacentral:rRNA from 1 species
UAUCUCUGUAGAGUCUGCAUAUCAAUAAGCGGAGGAAAAGAAACUAACUAGGAUUCCCUCAGUAACGGCGAGUGAAGCGGGAAGAGCUCAAAUUUGAAAUCUUCAAGGUUUACCUUGACGAAUUGUAGUUUAAAGAAGUGUUUUCUGUUGGAUGUUUUGGUAAAAGUUCUUUGGAAUAGGACAUCAUAGAGGGUGAGAAUCCCGUAUUUGACCAUUACUUUCCACUUUGUGAUACACUUUCAAAGAGUCGGAUUGUUUGGGAAUGCAGUCCAAAAUGGGUGGUAAAUUUCAUCUAAAGCUAAAUAUUGGCGAGAGACCGAUAGCGAACAAGUACCGUGAGGGAAAGAUGAAAAGAACUUUGAAAAGAGAGUUAAACAGUACGUGAAAUUGUCAAAAGGGAAGCGUUUGACACCAGUGUUGUUUUCUCGAAAUCAAUUAAAAAAGGCAGGAUUUUGUGUUGUAUUGACUUUAUCAGCUUUCUGCACUCUUUUCUUGUCUUUUUUAAUGCACUUUUCGUUUAGCAAGUCAACAUCAAUUUCUUUUGUUGUAAAAGGGUCAUUGGAAGGUGGCUUUCUUUUCGGAGAAAGUGUUUAUAGCCUUUGGCCUCUGCAAUCGGAGAGAUUGAGGUCUGCAGCGUAGAUCCUUCGGGGCUAGAUACGUAGAUGCUAAGUUAUAGUUUUUUAUAGACAACUUGUUGACUAUAAUUAAUCAUGUAGCUUACUCGUUUGCGCUAUUUUACCUACGCUUAGGAUGUUGACGAUCAGCUGAGCGCG